AGAGUUUGAUCAUGGCUCAGAACGAACGCUGGCGGCAGGCUUAACACAUGCAAGUCGAACGCACCCUUCGGGGUGAGUGGCAGACGGGUGAGUAACACGUGGGAACGUGCCCUUCAGUUCGGAAUAACCCAGGGAAACUUGGGCUAAUACCGGAUACGCCCUUUUUGGGGAAAGAUUGAUCGCUGAAGGAUCGGCCCGCGUCUGAUUAGCUGGUUGGUGAGGUAAAGGCUCACCAAGGCGACGAUCAGUAGCUGGUCUGAGAGGAUGAUCAGCCACACUGGGACUGAGACACGGCCCAGACUCCUACGGGAGGCAGCAGUGGGGAAUAUUGGACAAUGGGCGCAAGCCUGAUCCAGCCAUGCCGCGUGAGUGAUGAAGGCCUUAGGGUUGUAAAGCUCUUUCGGCGGGGACGAUAAUGACGGUACCCGCAGAAGAAGCCCCGGCUAACUUCGUGCCAGCAGCCGCGGUAAUACGAAGGGGGCUAGCGUUGUUCGGAAUCACUGGGCGUAAAGGGCGCGUAGGCGGCUUUGUCAGUCGGGGGUGAAAGCCUGUGGCUCAACCACAGAAUUGCCUUCGAUACUGCAAGGCUUGAGACCGGAAGAGGUCAGUGGAACUGCGAGUGUAGAGGUGAAAUUCGUAGAUAUUCGCAAGAACACCAGUGGCGAAGGCGGCUGACUGGUCCGGAUCUGACGCUGAGGCGCGAAAGCGUGGGGAGCAAACAGGAUUAGAUACCCUAGUAGUCC
rnacentral:rRNA from 1 species